rnacentral:rRNA from 1 species
AGAAUCAACGCUGGCGGCGUGCCUAACACAUGCAAGUCGAACGAGAAAGUGGAGCAAUCCAUGAGUAAAGUGGCGCACGGGUGAGUAACACGUGACUAACCUACCCUUGAGUGGGGAAUAACUUCGGGAAACCGAGGCUAAUACCGCAUAACACCUACGGGUCAAAGGAGCAAUUCGCUUAAGGAGGGGGUCGCGGCAGAUUAGUUAGUUGGCGGGGUAAUGGCCCACCAAGACGGUGAUCUGUA